rnacentral:rRNA from 1 species
AUUGAACGCUGGCGGCAGGCCUAACACAUGCAAGUCGAGCGGAGCGGCGGACGGGGGCGUAAUGCCUAGGAAUCUGCCUGGGAGUGGGGGAUAACGUCCGGAAACGGGCGCUAAUACCGCAUACUAUCAGAUUAGCCUAGGCCGGGUUAGCUAGUCGGUGGGGUAAAGGCCGACCAAGGCGACGAUCCGUAACUGGUCUGAGAGGAUGUUCAGUCACACUGGAACUGAGACACGGGCCAGACUCCUACGGGAGUCAGCAGUGGGGAAUAUUGGACAAUGGGCGAAAGCCUGAUCCAGCCAUGCCGCGUGUGUGAAGAAGGUCUUCGGAUUGUAAAGCACUUUAAGUUGGGAGGCGUUACCAACAGAAUAAGCACCGGCUAACUUCGUGCCAGCAGCCGCGGUAAUUC